AACGGCCAGGCGGCGGCCCAGGCCUGCAGCGGUCGUUGGUCGUCGGCGUGAGCGUGUCAGGAAAAUAACACGGAAAGCAGCACAGGUGAAUGAGAAUCAAGCAGAUUUUCCUGGAACACAUCCACAAGCUGAAGGCAGAGAAGGCCUGCAAGAAGCCCCUGGCUAACCAGAUAGGCCCCCAAGGUUAAGACCAAGGAAGUACAGGAGUGCCCCGAGGAGCCACUUCAGGCCAAGAAGGAGGUAACCAAGACUCUGUCCAAGCAGGAAGAGAUGAAGACAUGGAGGCCCCCCUCUCUUAUGUCUGUCAUUGCAAUAGGCCUGGAGGCCUUGAGAAGGAUUGCACCAUUCCCCACUCGUGGAGAGCCAGGGUGGUCCAUUUGCCAUCACUGCAUCCCAGCUUCUCAGCAUUGUACCAG